GGGUUGUGAGGUUAAGCGACUAAGCGUACACGGUGGAUGCCCUGGCAGUCAGAGGCGAUGAAGGACGUGCUAAUCUGCGAUAAGCGUCGGUAAGGUGAUAUGAACCGUUAUAACCGGCGAUUUCCGAAUGGGGAAACCCAGUGUGAUUCGUCACACUAUCAUUAACUGAAUCCAUAGGUUAAUGAGGCGAACCGGGGGAACUGAAACAUCUAAGUACCCCGAGGAAAAGAAAUCAACCGAGAUUCCCCCAGUAGCGGCGAGCGAACGGGGAGGAGCCCAGAGCCUGAAUCAGUGUGUGUGUUAGUGGAAGCGUCUGGAAAGGCGCGCGAUACAGGGUGACAGCCCCGUACACAAAAAUGCACAUACUGUGAGCUCGAUGAGUAGGGCGGGACACGUGGUAUCCUGUCUGAAUAUGGGGGGACCAUCCUCCAAGGCUAAAUACUCCUGACUGACCGAUAGUGAACCAGUACCGUGAGGGAAAGGCGAAAAGAACCCCGGCGAGGGGAGUGAAAAAGAACCUGAAACCGUGUACGUACAAGCAGUGGGAGCCUCUUUAUGGGGUGACUGCGUACCUUUUGUAUAAUGGGUCAGCGACUUAUAUUCUGUAGCAAGGUUAACCGAAUAGGGGAGCCGAAGGGAAACCGAGUCUUAACUGGGCGUUAAGUUGCAGGGUAUAGACCCGAAACCCGGUGAUCUAGCCAUGGGCAGGUUGAAGGUUGGGUAACACUAACUGGAGGACCGAACCGACUAAUGUUGAAAAAUUAGCGGAUGACUUGUGGCUGGGGGUGAAAGGCCAAUCAAACCGGGAGAUAGCUGGUUCUCCCCGAAAGCUAUUUAGGUAGCGCCUCGUGAAUUCAUCUCCGGGGGUAGAGCACUGUUUCGGCAAGGGGGUCAUCCCGACUUACCAACCCGAUGCAAACUGCGAAUACCGGAGAAUGUUAUCACGGGAGACACACGGCGGGUGCUAACGUCCGUCGUGAAGAGGGAAACAACCCAGACCGCCAGCUAAGGUCCCAAAGUCAUGGUUAAGUGGGAAACGAUGUGGGAAGGCCCAGACAGCCAGGAUGUUGGCUUAGAAGCAGCCAUCAUUUAAAGAAAGCGUAAUAGCUCACUGGUCGAGUCGGCCUGCGCGGAAGAUGUAACGGGGCUAAACCAUGCACCGAAGCUGCGGCAGCGACACUAAGUGUUGUUGGGUAGGGGAGCGUUCUGUAAGCCUGUGAAGGUGUGCUGUGAGGCAUGCUGGAGGUAUCAGAAGUGCGAAUGCUGACAUAAGUAACGAUAAAGCGGGUGAAAAGCCCGCUCGCCGGAAGACCAAGGGUUCCUGUCCAACGUUAAUCGGGGCAGGGUGAGUCGACCCCUAAGGCGAGGCCGAAAGGCGUAGUCGAUGGGAAACAGGUUAAUAUUCCUGUACUUGGUGUUACUGCGAAGGGGGGACGGAGAAGGCUAUGUUGGCCGGGCGACGGUUGUCCCGGUUUAAGCGUGUAGGCUGGUUUUCCAGGCAAAUCCGGAAAAUCAAGGCUGAGGCGUGAUGACGAGGCACUACGGUGCUGAAGCAACAAAUGCCCUGCUUCCAGGAAAAGCCUCUAAGCAUCAGGUAACAUCAAAUCGUACCCCAAACCGACACAGGUGGUCAGGUAGAGAAUACCAAGGCGCUUGAGAGAACUCGGGUGAAGGAACUAGGCAAAAUGGUGCCGUAACUUCGGGAGAAGGCACGCUGAUAUGUAGGUGAAGCGACUUGCUCGUGGAGCUGAAAUCAGUCGAAGAUACCAGCUGGCUGCAACUGUUUAUUAAAAACACAGCACUGUGCAAACACGAAAGUGGACGUAUACGGUGUGACGCCUGCCCGGUGCCGGAAGGUUAAUUGAUGGGGUUAGCGGUAACGCGAAGCUCUUGAUCGAAGCCCCGGUAAACGGCGGCCGUAACUAUAACGGUCCUAAGGUAGCGAAAUUCCUUGUCGGGUAAGUUCCGACCUGCACGAAUGGCGUAAUGAUGGCCAGGCUGUCUCCACCCGAGACUCAGUGAAAUUGAACUCGCUGUGAAGAUGCAGUGUACCCGCGGCAAGACGGAAAGACCCCGUGAACCUUUACUAUAGCUUGACACUGAACAUUGAGCCUUGAUGUGUAGGAUAGGUGGGAGGCUUUGAAGUGUGGACGCCAGUCUGCAUGGAGCCGACCUUGAAAUACCACCCUUUAAUGUUUGAUGUUCUAACGUUGGCCCCUUAUCGGGGUUGCGGACAGUGUCUGGUGGGUAGUUUGACUGGGGCGGUCUCCUCCUAAAGAGUAACGGAGGAGCACGAAGGUUGGCUAAUCCUGGUCGGACAUCAGGAGGUUAGUGCAAUGGCAUAAGCCAGCUUGACUGCGAGCGUGACGGCGCGAGCAGGUGCGAAAGCAGGUCAUAGUGAUCCGGUGGUUCUGAAUGGAAGGGCCAUCGCUCAACGGAUAAAAGGUACUCCGGGGAUAACAGGCUGAUACCGCCCAAGAGUUCAUAUCGACGGCGGUGUUUGGCACCUCGAUGUCGGCUCAUCACAUCCUGGGGCUGAAGUAGGUCCCAAGGGUAUGGCUGUUCGCCAUUUAAAGUGGUACGCGAGCUGGGUUUAGAACGUCGUGAGACAGUUCGGUCCCUAUCUGCCGUGGGCGCUGGAGAACUGAGGGGGGCUGCUCCUAGUACGAGAGGACCGGAGUGGACGCAUCACUGGUGUUCGGGUUGUCAUGCCAAUGGCACUGCCCGGUAGCUAAAUGCGGAAGAGAUAAGUGCUGAAAGCAUCUAAGCACGAAACUUGCCCCGAGAUGAGUUCUCCCUGACCCUUUAAGGGUCCUGAAGGAACGUUGAAGACGACGACGUUGAUAGGCCGGGUGUGUAAGCGCAGCGAUGCGUUGAGCUAACCGGUACUAAUGAACCGUGAGGCUUAACCUUACAACGCCGAAGGUGUUU
rnacentral:rRNA from 1 species